GGGGAAGUGAAAGUGGUGCUAUUCCAGUAGAGAGAUUACAGUCUUCUGUCUUUCAGGGAGACAUAUCCAUAAAGUCGCCCGGGAACAGUACAGAGUCAUGGGGAGUCUGGAGCCGAUCCCUGCAAGCAUGAGGACACAAGGCUGGGGACACACUGAGGGGGAUUCCGGGCCAUCACAGAAGAUGCACUUAUGCACUGCGAGAAGACACCGGAGUACCAACGGCCCCAGAAACACGGUUGGCUGCAGUCAUGUUGCGCCCAUGAGGAGGCCAGCUCUGCUCAGCUUCCCCUGAAAACAUCAGCGAGGUUGAUGUACCUCUGUAGACUUGUUUAUCCUAUAAAAACCCCUUGAGAAGAGAAGAGAAGAAAAGAGCAGAAGCGACAAAAAACCCAGAUCUAGAACCAAAAGCUGAAUAACCAUAAAACACCCCUACUUCAACCAGAUAUCCUGGUCAGAGUCUUGGGGGGGGGGCUGGACCCUACCCCAGGCAGCACUGGGCAGAGGGCUGGGAUACACCCUGGAAGACAUGUCACUACCGAAAAAAAAGCAUCUAUGAAUAAUUUCACCACGUUGAUAUGGUGGUCAUGCCACUAGGAGCUAUGCCUCAGGAUAGCUAAGCUAAUCAAACAAGAAAGGACACCAAAGCUAACCAAUUAGAUGCACUACAACAAACAACUAUGCCUUUCUUGCUGGAUCCUGCUACAAAAGAAGCAUAACAACGGCCCAGAAGUUAUGCCACUAGGCCUGCAAAUGUUAGGAGAAACCCGGGCUAGAUAAUUCCGCAAGUAUCCGUUUGUUUCCUCCAGCUUAGAGCUCAGCAUCAUGGGAGAUCAUUUGCAUAAUAACGCGCAGUUGGUGGAAUGGCCACACUGCCAAACUCCAUGUUGCAAAAGGUAGAAGAGUCUGCAAAUGUUUUUUUUUUUCCAGCAAAACACAUCUCAAAUUUUCACCAAGUACAAUUAUUAAUUAUUGACUGUGACUAAAAGUCUGAAUUCUCACUUUGGCCAGACAGUCAGAUCUAGUAAGCAUUUUGGUGGUUCUAGUCUUCUUCUGGUUAAUAAUGAAGGACGGCAUCCAGGAAUCCUCCAUCACACUAUGACUGUGCCCCCUAUUUGAAAAUAGCACAAUGGAUCAGACCUUUCCAAAAUAAAACGCUUGAAACACUCAAACACCUUGCACAAACAUGCGCAAACAUCAUCUAGUUUAGAUGCUGACAGUGACAAGAUGCUAAUCAAACACAAGCCAAUUUCCUAAAGUUUCACUUACACGGGUGAACAAACUUGAAAUGUAAACAAACUGACUCUCACAGGCAUGCGAAUGUUUUGGUUCUCUUGGCAUUAUAAGCAUUUCGGAGUCCUCAGUUAAAAACAUAAUUUAGAAAAAUCGAUAUACAUUUUGUCUGAAUUGGUUCAGCGACCCCUCUGUCUGGUCAGCUUUUCCCA